rnacentral:rRNA from 1 species
UGUACUGAUUGAGAUUUUAACACGAAGUGAGUGGCGAACGGGUGAGUAACACGUGGGUAACCUGCCCAGAAGUAGGGGAUAACACCUGGAAACAGAUGCUAAUACCGUAUAACAGAGAAAACCGCAUGGUUUUCUUUUAAAAGAUGGCUCUGCUAUCACUUCUGGAUGGACCCGCGGCGUAUUAGCUAGUUGGUGAGGUAAAGGCUCACCAAGGCAGUGAUACGUAGCCGACCUGAGAGGGUAAUCGGCCACAUUGGGACUGAGACACGGCCCAGACUCCUACGGGAGGCAGCAGUAGGGAAUCUUCCACAAUGGACGCAAGUCUGAUGGAGCAACGCCGCGUGAGUGAAGAAGGGUUUCGGCUCGUAAAGCUCUGUUGUUAAAGAAGAACGUGGGUAAGAGUAACUGUUUACCCAGUGACGGUAUUUAACCAGAAAGCCACGGCUAACUACGUGCCAGCAGCCGCGGUAAUACGUAGGUGGCAAGCGUUAUCCGGAUUUAUUGGGCGUAAAGCGAGCGCAGG